rnacentral:tRNA from 1 species
AUAUAAUUUUUAUUUAUAUAAUAUAUUAAUAGUAUAUUUAAUUUCCAAUUAAAAAGUUUAAUUAAAUUUAAUAUAAAUA